rnacentral:rRNA from 1 species
GCUUUGGCUAUUCCAUGCAGUCGAGCGGUACACAGAGAGCUUGCUCUCGGGUGACGAGCGGCGGACGGGUGAGUAAUGUCUGGGAAACUGCCUGAUGGAGGGGGAUAACUACUGGAAACGGUAGCUAAUACCGCAUAACGUCGCAAGAAAAGUGGGGGACCUUCGGGCCUCAUGCCAUCAGAUGUGCCCAGAUGGGAUUAGCUAGUAGGUGGGGUAAUGGCUCACCUAGGCGACGAUCCCUAGCCCUGGUCUGAGAGGAUGACCAGCCACACUGGAACUGAGACACGGUCCAGACUCCUACGGGAGGCAGCAGUGGGGAAUAUUGCACAAUGGGCGCAAGCCUGAUGCAGCCAUGCCGCGUGUAUGAAGAAGGCCUUCGGGUUGUAAAGUACUUUCAGCGAGGAGGAAGGCGUUAAGGUUAAUAACCUUGGCGAUUGACGUUACUCGCAGAAGAAGCACCGGCUAACUCCGUGCGUCAGCAGCCGCGGUAAUACGGAGGGUGCAAGCGUUAAUCGGAAUUACUGGGCGUAAAGCGCACGCAGGCGGUCUGUCAACGGAUGUGAAAUCCCCGGGCUCAACCUGGGAACUGCAUUCGAAACUGGCAGGCUAGAGUCUUGUAGAGGGGGGUAGAAUUCCAGGUGUAGCGGUGAAAUGCGUAGAGAUCUGGAGGAAUACCGGUGGCGAAGGCGGCCCCCUGGACAAAGACUGACGCUCAGGUGCGAAAGCGUGGGUGAGCAAACAGGAUUAGAUACCCUGGUAGUCCACGCCGUAACGAUGUCGACUUGGAGGUUGUGCCCUUGAGGCGUGGCUUCCGGAGCUAACGCGUUAAGUCGACCGCCUGAGGAGUACGGCCGCAAGGUUAAAACUCAAAUGAAUGACGGGGGCCCGCACAAGCGGUGCAGCAUGUGGUUUAUUCGAUGCACGCGAGAUCUUUACCUACUCUUGACAUCCAGAGACUUAGCAGAGAUGCUUUGCUGCUUCGAGGUACUCUGAGACAGUGCUGCAUGCUGUCGUCAGCUCGUGUGUGAAUGUGGAUUAGUUCAGCACGAGCGCAUCCUUAUUCUUUUGCUGGCAGCGAUCAGUCGGUACUCAGAAGAGACUGGCAGUGAUACUGAAGGAAGUGGAUGACGUUCAAGUCCAUCUGGCUUACAAGUAGGUCUCAACCACGUGUCUUACAUGUGUGCC